rnacentral:rRNA from 1 species
AGGAUGAACGCUGGCGGCGUGCUUAACACAUGCAAGUCGAACGAUGAAGCGGAGCUUGCUCUGUGGAUUAGUGGCGAACGGGUGAGUAACACGUGAGUAACCUGCCCUUGACUCUGGGAUAAGCACUGGAAACGGUGUCUAAUACCGGAUACGAGCUUCAGCCGCAUGGCUAGGAGUUGGAAAGAAUUUCGGUCAAGGAUGGACUCGCGGCCUAUCAGGUAGUUGGUGAGGUAAUGGCCCACCAAGCCUACGACGGGUAGCCGGCCUGAGAGGGUGACCGGCCACACUGGGACUGAGACACGGCCCAGACUCCUACGGGAGGCAGCAGUGGGGAAUAUUGCACAAUGGGCGCAAGCCUGAUGCAGCAACGCCGCGUGAGGGACGACGGCCUUCGGUUGUAACCUCUUUAGUAGGAAGAAGCGAAAGUGACGGUACCUGCAGAAAAGCACCGGCUAACUACGCGCCAGCAGCCGCGGU